AACCAAGGAACCUGUUCAAAACGGAACAACCCGUGCAGCACGAGAUCGUUUCUCCGUGUCCUCAGCAAGAAGCAGGGACCAACCUUUGUGGAUACUAUGUUUGCAGACACAUGAUCUCCAUCUGCAAAUCUACUGAUAGUUAUGACGAUCCUCGCAAAUUAGUACCACUCAUCUUAAAACCGAGGACCCCUGAAUCGCUCCCGGCUGGUGAAUUGCUGAUGGUUCAGAGAUUUAUCAGCGACUUCUUCCUG